rnacentral:rRNA from 1 species
AUUGAACGCUGGCGGCAGGCCUAACACAUGCAAGUCGAACGGGUGGCGGACGGGUGAGUAAGGUCUGGGAAACUGCCUGAUGGAGGGGGAUAACUACUGGAAACGGUAGCUAAUACCGCAUACCAUCAGAUGUGCCCAGAUGGGAUUAGCUUGUUGGUGGGGUAACGGCUCACCAAGGCGACGAUCCCUAGCUGGUCUGAGAGGAUGACCAGCCACACUGGAACUGAGACACGGUCCAGACUCCUACGGGAGGCAGCAGUGGGGAAUCUUGGACAAUGGGCGAAAGCCUGACGCAGCAAUGCCGCGUGUAUGAAGAAGGCCUUCGGGUUGUAAAGUACUUUCGUCGGGGAGGCGUUAUCCGCAGAAGAAGCACCGGCUAACUACGUGCCAGCAGCCGCGGUAAUUC